rnacentral:lncRNA from 8 species
GAAACACCUGGUCGUCACCAGACCCUGUUCGCCUCCAGGAGAACCUCCCUGGCCCCUAUCCCAUCCCCAUCUCACAGUUCCAGAUCAGCAUCGUGGUGGAGCGUCCGGACGGCAGGGAGAUCGCCAAGCCUGUGGAGCUGAGAGUGAUGGCGGGCGAUGCCAACGACAACAGGCCCACGUUGCCUACCACACAGUACCACACCGUGGUCAAGGAGCUCGCCCCAUGGGGGACAGAAAUCCUCACUGUUCAAGCAGCCGACAACAAUGAUCCGAAAACCGAUAACGUGAGAAUCUUCUACCGGCUGGUUGGCCAGAUCCUAGAGAGCUCUCGUGCCUUGUUCCAGGUGGACCGUGACUCUGGGGUCAUAUCUGUGCAGGCAGGCAACCUGGAGGGAGCCGCCCCACAGUAAAAACACUGACCAUCACUGCUGAGGACGCUAAAGGUGACCAACGGUACUGCAUGGCAAUGUGGUUCUGUGGUGUUAGAGAGAGGGCUGAGGGAUUACUUCCACAAAGAUAAUGUAUACAUAGUACAAUGUCAAGAUAAUCCAGAGAUACUCUAUAGUAGUAACCUAUUGUGAUAUGUAGACAGGGGUAGGGUAAAUGAGUUUUAGACUGGCAGAUGUAAUGCUGGAGGUU